AUUGAACGCUGGCGGCAUGCCUUACACAUGCAAGUCGAACGGGCUUUUGGGGCUUGCUCCAAAAGUUAGUGGCGAACGGGUGAGUAAUAUAUCGGAACGUGCCCUGGAGUGGGGGACAACCAGUCGAAAGAUUGGCUAAUACCGCAUACGAUCCAAGGAUGAAAGUGGGGGACCUUCGGGCCUCAUGCUCCUGGAGCGGCCGAUAUCUGAUUAGCUAGUUGGUGGGGUAAAGGCCCACCAAGGCGAAGAUCAGUAGCUGGUCUGAGAGGACGAUCAGGCACACUGGGACUGAGACGCGGCCCAGACUCCUACGGGAGGCAGCAGUGGGGAAUUUUGGACAAUGGGGGAAACCCUGAUCCAGCAAUGCCGCGUGAGUGAAGAAGGCCUUCGGGUUGUAAAGCUCUUUUGUCAGGGAAGAAACGGUGGGGGCUAAUAUCCUCUGCUAAUGACGGUACCUGAAGAAUAAGCACCGGCUAACUACGUGCCAGCCGCCGCGGUAA
rnacentral:rRNA from 1 species